rnacentral:rRNA from 1 species
UCGAGGAUCUUCGGCAAUGAGCGCAAGCUUGACCGAGCGACGCCGCGUGCGGGAUGAAGGCUUUCGGGUUGUAAACCGCUGUCAGUGGGGAGGAAAUUUAGGUGGGUACUCUCAUCUAAUUGACUUAUCCGCAGAGGAAGCAAGGGCUAAGUUCGUGCCAGCAGCCGCGGUAAGACGAACCUUGCUAACGUUAUUCGGAAUUACUGGGCUUAAAGGGUGCGUAGGCGGUGCAGAAAGUUGGGUGUGAAAGCCCUCGGCUCAACCGAGGAAUUGCGCCCAAAACUGCUGCACUAGAGGAAGACAGAGGUACGCGGAACUUAGGGUGGAGCGGUGAAAUGCGUUGAUAUCCUAAGGAACACCGGUGGCGAAAGCGGCGUACUGGGUCUUAUCUGACGCUGAGGCACGAAAGCUAGGGGAGCGAACGGGAUUAGAUACCCCGGUAGUCC